UACGAGGGGGGCAAGCGUUGUUCGGAAUUAUUGGGCGUAAAGGGCGCGUAGGCGGUGCGGUAAGUCACCUGUGAAAACUCUGGGCUCAACUCAGAGCCUGCAGGCGAAACUGCCGUGCUUGAGUGUGGGAGAGGUGCGUGGAAUUCCCGGUGUAGCGGUGAAAUGCGCAGAUAUCAGGAGGAACACCAAUAGCGAAGGCAGCUCGCUGGGACGUUACUGACACUGAGGCGCGAAAGCGUGGGGAGCGAACAGG
rnacentral:rRNA from 1 species